AGUUUGGGCCAAAAAAUGUCUGCAUCCAGAGCUGAGGGAUUAUAGUCAUCAAAUCUCCAAACCUGAGACUGAACCACAGCAAUCUCAACCAGUGUGGGCCUACAAAUGUCUGCACCCAGAGCUGCAAGAUUCUGUUCAACAAAUCUCCAUACCCAAGACUGAACCACAGCAAUUGCAAGGAGGUA